rnacentral:rRNA from 1 species
AGCGCAGGCGGAACUGCAAGUUGGGUGUUUAAUCUACGGGCUCAACCGUAUCAGCAUUCAAACUGUGGUUCUUGAGUAAUGCAGAGGUAGGCGGAAUUUCCCGGUGUAGCGGUGGAAUGCGUAGAUAUCGGGAGGAACACCAGUGGCGAAGGCGGCCUACUGGGCAUCAACUGACGCUGAGGCUCGAAAGCAUGGGUAGCAAACAGGAUUAGAUACCCUGGUAGUCCAUGCUGUAAACGAUGAUUACUAGGUGUGGGAAGAUUGACCCUUUCCGUGCCGCAGUUAACACAAUAAGUAAUCCACCUGGGGAGUACGACCGCAAGGUUGAAACUCAAAGGAAUUGACGGGGGCCCGCACAAGCAGUGGAGUAUGUGGUUUAAUUCGAAGCAACGCGAAGAACCUUACCAGGUCUUGACAUCCAACGACCGCCUAAGAGAUUAGGCUUUCCUUCGGGACGUUGAGACAGGUGGUGCAUGGUUGUCGUCAGCUCGUGUCGUGAGAUGUUGGGUUAAGUCCCGCAACGAGCGCAACCCUUAUUACUAGUUACUACGCAAGAGGACUCUAGUGAGACUGCCGUUGACAAAACGGAGGAAGGUGGGGAUGACGUCAAAUCAUCAUGCCCUUUAUGACCUGGGCUACACACGUACUACAAUGGCUAUUAACAGAGAGAAGCGAGACCGCAAGGUGGAGCAAACCUCAGAAAAAUAGUCUCAGUCCGGAUUGGGGGCUGCAACCCGCCCCCAUGAAGCCGGAAUUGCUAGUAAUCGCGGAUCAGCAUGCCGCGGUGAAUACGUUCCCGGGCCUUGUACACACCGCCCGUCACACCAUGAGAGCCGGGGGGACCCGAAGUCGGUAGUCUAACCGCAAGGAGGACGCCGCCGAAGGUAAAACUGGUGAUUGGGGUGAAGUCGUAACAAGGUAACCGUAAAGGGCGAACUCGGAGCCUGC